UACGUAGGGGGCAAGCGUUGUCCGGAAUCAUUGGGCGUAAAGCGCGCGUAGGCGGCCCUGUAAGUCCGUUGUGAAAGUCAAAGGCUCAACCUUUGAAAGCCGGUGGAUACUGCAGGGCUAGAGUCCGGAAGAGGCGAGUGGAAUUCCUGGUGUAGCGGUGGAAUGCGCAGAUAUCAGGAGGAACACCAAUAGCGAAGGCAGCUCGCUGGGACGGUACUGACGCUAAGGCGCGAAAGCGUGGGGAGCGAACAGG
rnacentral:rRNA from 1 species